AGCAGCCGCGGUAAUUCCAGCUCCAAUAGCGUAUAUUAAAGUUGUUGCAGUUAAAAAGCUCGUAGUUGAAUUUCGGGGUCAGUAGGUCGGUCGUGCCACAGGUAUGCACUGGUCUCACUGAUUCCUCCUUCCUGAUGAACCGUAAUGCCAUUAAUUUGGUGUUGCGGGGAGACUGGACUGUUACUUUGAAAAAUUAGAGUGUUUAAAGCAGGCUAACGCUUGAAUACAUUAGCAUGGAAUAACGGAAUAGGACGUUCGAUCUUAUUUUGUUGGUUUCUAAGAUUGACGUAAUGAUUAAUAGGGAUAGUUGGGGGCAUUAGUAUUCAAUUGUCAGAGGUGAAAUUCUUGGAUUUAUUGAAGACUAACUACUGCGAAAGCAUUUGCCAAGGAUGUUUCAUUAAUCAAGAACGAAAGUUGGGGGAUCGGAAGAC
rnacentral:sRNA from 1 species